rnacentral:rRNA from 1 species
CUAUGUAAUAAAAGUAGUAUUGCUUCUUCAUAACUCAAAGAAUUUGGCGGCUAAUAAUAUUUCCAGAGGAACCUGUGUAUUAAUUGAUAAUCCACGAUAGUUUAAACUUCUUUUUUAUUUAUAUAUCUCUAUUUUAGGAAUGUUUUUUAAGAAUAAUUUUCUUUUUGUUUAUUCAUAAAUAUUAGGUCAAGGUGUAGUUUUAAAGAUAGAUUAUGUGGGUUACUUUAGUUUUAAUUUUAAUUUUAUUAAUUAUUAUAUUAUUAUGUUAUUUAGGAUUUGGUAGUAAAUUAAUUUAAUUAAUUUUUUUGAAUUUU